ACCGUGCCUGUCUCUGACCCUUCCUCGUCGUCCCUGCUCAGCCCUGAGUGCAAUAUUUGUCAUCGCUGUCGAUCAUUACUACUACGUUCGCAAGAUGUCAAUGGAGGACAGUCAAAAACCUGACUGUGAUGCAGCCUCGGAGGGAAACAUCUCCCCAGGGAGUGUGGGCGACAGGG